AGCAGCCGCGGUAAUUCCAGCUCCAAUAGCGUAUAUUAAAGUUGUUGCAGUUAAAAAGCUCGUAGUUGAAUUUCGGGGUCAGCAGGUUGGUCGUGCCUAUGGUAUGAACUGGCUUCGCUGGUCUCUCCUUUCUGAAGAACUGUAAUGCCAUUAAUUUGGUGUUGCAGGGACACAGGACUGUUACUUUGAAAAAAUUAGAGUGUUUAAAGCAGGCUAACGCUUGAAUACAUUAGCAUGGAAUAAUGAAAUAGGACGUUCAAACCUAUUUUGUUGGUUUCUAGGAUUGACGUAAUGAUUAAUAGGGAUAGUUGGGGGCAUUAGUAUUCAAUUGUCAGAGGUGAAAUUCUUGGAUUUAUUGAAGACUGACUACUGCGAAAGCAUUUGCCAAGGAUGUUUUCAUUAAUCAAGAACGAAAGUUAGGGGAUCGAAGACGAUCAGAUACCGUCGUAGUCUUAACCAUAAACUAUGCCGACUAGGGAUCGGAUGAUGUUAAUUUUUUAANGACGNCA
rnacentral:rRNA from 1 species